GCUCUCGCGAUACUGGCAGCGUCCUUUAACCAGGUCUCGAGCGCGCUGGUGGGGCCGGUUCUGCUGGUUGGUUGGGAGCUGUGUCACGUGGCCGGUCUGGGUUCCCGGCGGCCUCAGCGCGAAUUGAUGAUAACGAGAGACGAAGGCGAGAGUGCGACAGCGAACGGAGGAUCGGCAAGAAGCGGCACCGGUACCGAGUGCUCGGUUGGCUGGUUUUACGUACCUGGGUCUCCUACAGUUUGCUUCUCUCAUAAGUGGCUAAACAAAUCGGAAGACGAUAAGAAAGAUUUCCCACCGGGGAUAGUUCCCAGUCCUCCUUUUAUUCCCCCCCCUUUCAAGAGAGAGAACUUUUUCUUUUCGUUUUUUUUCCCUCAGUCGGAAAUUUUGUACUCAUUUUUUAGUUAUGAGUCAUGUGGCCAUCGGAAAUGUACUGGAUCUAGAUCAGCAGCUUGCUGGCCUAGACUUGACAUCGUCAGCAGGUGAUGCUCAGAGUGCUGGUGGGGCAGGCAAAGGACGUUAUAUUCCUCCUCACCUAA